AUUAAAAAUGCCAGAUUCUGCCUAAUUUGUGUUCUUUUAUUGAACUGGACACAUCUUAAAAAUGUUUUCAGUUUGGUGCUCACCAGAACCGAGGUUAGAGAAAGAAGAGCGAGGAGGGGAAGGAGGAAGAAUGUGAAAAGAAGGAAAAUCUAGUCACGGGAAAAGCAGCAGAGGAGGAAACGCCGUCGCCUCGUGCCUGUGCCGUUUCCACCCUUUGGUCUUUGAGGUCCAUGUUUGUGCUUGAGGAACGAUUUCAACAUCACGCAGGGCUUGUUGGGGACCACGUGUGACGGGGGCCAGGAAGGGAGGCUCUGCCUGAACUGGCCUUGCUGGUUUCUCUCCUUCCAGACGUCUGCUGAGAGUGGGGGUGGCCUAACAUGUGGCCAGUGGAGGAGCCCAUCUCAGUCCUACUUGCCAGGGGCGCCAUUGCUUGGGUCCAAAGCCCCACGCCUCCUCCAGUCUGCGACUUUUGCUUCCACGUGCACGUCUUGUGGUGGCCAUUGCUCCUGGACCCCAAAAGCCAGUUUCCUUCUACCUCGGGGCUUAUGGAAGGAUCACCGUUUCCCACGCCCUGAAGAACCACACAGCCACGAGACUUGCUGUGGUCCAAGAAGUGAGUGGCGCUUCCAGGUGGAAGCGUUUGAGCUGAUGUGUGUGACUCUCUGUGCACUUGUUGACUUGACCACCAGCUUUCCAAAUGGUGGAGCUUUUGUCAGCCAAGGUCAUAGAGUGAAAAUGACGUGGAACAGAGUCCUUGUAGAUCCGUGACCACGGUCACAUGAG